UCACUGAUGGUGUAAUGGUAAACACGCCUGCCUUUGGUGCAGGCAGUGUGGGAUCAAUUCCCGCUCAGUGAU